GAGUUUGAUCUUGGCUCAGAACGAACGCUGGCGGCAUGCCUAACACAUGCAAGUCGAACGAGACCUUCGGGUCUAGUGGCGCACGGGUGCGUAACGCGUGGGAAUCUGCCCUCUGGUUCGGAACAACAGUUGGAAACGACUGCUAAUACCGGAUAAUGACUUCGGUCCAAAGAUUUAUCGCCUGAGGAUGAGCCCGCGUCGGAUUAGCUUGUUGGUGAGGUAAAAGCUCACCAAGGCGACGAUCCGUAGCUGGUCUGAGAGGAUGAUCAGCCACACUGGGACUGAGACACGGCCCAGACUCCUACGGGAGGCAGCAGUGGGGAAUAUUGGACAAUGGGCGAAAGCCUGAUCCAGCAAUGCCGCGUGAGUGAUGAAGGCCUUAGGGUUGUAAAGCUCUUUUACCCGGGAUGAUAAUGACAGUACCGGGAGAAUAAGCCCCGGCUAACUCCGUGCAGCCGCCGCUGUAAU
rnacentral:rRNA from 1 species